UCAGGUAUCUAUAGCAAUGGGGUUCCACCUCUUCCCAUCCCGAACAGAGAAGUUAAGCCCAUUAGCGCCGAUGGUACUGCCGAAAGGUGKGAGAGUAGGUCGAUGCCAACU
rnacentral:rRNA from 2 species